UCCUGGCUCAGAUUGAACGCUGGCGGAAUGCUUUACACAUGCAAGUCGAACGGUAGAGGGGCAACCCUCGAGAGUGGCGAACGGGUGAGUAAUAUAUCGGAACGUGCCCAGUCGUGGGGGAUAACGUAGCGAAAGUUACGCUAAUACCGCAUACGAUCUACGGAUGAAAGCGGGGACUCGCAAGAGCCUCGCGCGAUUGGAGCGGCCGAUGUCAGAUUAGCUAGUUGGUGGGGUAAAGGCCCACCAAGGCGACGAUCUGUAGCUGGUCUGAGAGGACGACCAGCCACACUGGGACUGAGACACGGCCCAGACUCCUACGGGAGGCAGCAGUGGGGAAUUUUGGACAAUGGGCGCAAGCCUGAUCCAGCAAUGCCGCGUGCAGGAAGAAGGCCUUCGGGUUGUAAACUGCUUUUGUACGGAACGAAAAGGUCUGGGUUAAUACCCUGGGCUCAUGACGGUACCGUAAGAAUAAGCACCGGCUAACUACGUG
rnacentral:rRNA from 1 species